GUGUCACCGCUACAACCGAGCCCAGUGCAGCACCCGUCGCCAUGGCGUGAAGAGGGGCCCCCGGGAGAUGACAACAACUAAGGAGCUUCGUUCGGCUUUCAAGUUGGGAUCAACUGGAGAAACUCUUUUGAAGAUAAGGAGGAUCUGGAGAUUUUGUCUAUCCAGUACAUGGGAAAUGGCUCUUACUGAUGCCCUCCAUCAGUAGUCUACAUUCUCUUAAGAAUUACCCUUGGUUGUCUCCAUCAUCAAGAGGCCUUUUGAGGAAACAGGCAGUGUGUAAAGAAAGUAUCAGUGGACAAAAUUGUAGAGUUCAUGGGUGUUGAAUUAAUUUGGAAUAAACUCUUGGGCUCUCUAUAACUCUGCAGCCUUCUGUUUUCAAAAGGAAUAUGUUUGCUCACUUCAUUUGGAAUUUGAGGCUCCAUGAAAGAGAGGCUUCAAUCAGUUGAGGAGAAAAGUGAGGACACUCACACAUGGUCUGCAGUGACUUGCUAAAAAAGUGGAUGAUUGAUCGUGCCCGCCAGCUGCCUAAUAUCAUAAUUAACAAAGUUGCUACGGUGUCUGAGAAGUUUAAUCGAAAAAAAAUUUGCCAACAGUGUGAUGCUGUUGUUACCCAUAAAGAUCAGAAGCAGGGCAAAGUCGACUUUUGGACUAAUGGAGCUGCAGAACUAUGUGGGCAGAAUAAGAAGUAGAGCACCUGAAUGGAUAAUGUAAGAAGAUAAUAUAAUACAAAGGACUAUGACAUAGUCUGAGCUGCAUUACUUUGAACACUAAAAUUACUUUUUAGAAUUCAGUGAGAAAAUAUACCUGCAAAGGAAUUUCAAAACUGUGGCCGAAAUGAUUAAAAAACAGGAUUUGCUGUUAUGCUGAUUAAAAGGGACAUCCUUAUGUAAACUGUAUUGCAUACUCAAAUGAAAGCAAGUCAAUAAAAGUGAUUAGAGUUGCCAUCUCAGAAUGCACACCCUUAAACCAUAUAACCGUAAUACCGAAAAAGGUCCCCAACUCACUCAUCUUUUCAAAUUACAUCCAAACUGUCUGGGGAACUUCUCAGUGACUAGAGGAGGCUAAUAAUGAAGGAGUCAGUAAAAGAGCCAGUGCCAUGAGAGUUAUCUCAUGGCCCCAGAUGCUGGAUAAGUUGAAGAAGGCAGAAAUCACUUCUGGAUGACAUUCAGGUCUGAAUGAUGAUUUGAAGAAGAAAAGACUAUUAUUUCCAAGCUUCAGCAAUAUAUUCCUGAAACAAAAGAUCCACUUCAGACUCUGCCACACCUAAAAAGAAGCUUUGAGGAAAUUGCCAGGCUCAAGUAUGAUGAGAGAAUUACCUACAAAGCAGAAAAUGAAAAAGGGCACAUGGAUACUGUGGAUACUUCUGUAAAGUGCCAAAGAUCUCGUACAGAUAUGUCUCACAAGAUCCAUUGCCUCUCAACAAAACCUGAAAAGGAAUUGCUCCAAGUUAAGUGAACUAGAUAUCAAAUUACAGAUGAACUGUCUACCUCUGUCAGUAUUAAGAGUUACGCUGCACAAUAUUCAAGGACACAUCUUUACUUUACCAAGUUGCCUUUCAUCUUUGAAGCUGUUUAAUUCACCUGAAGAUAAAGAUGCCAUGCAACUUAUUUGCCAUCAAAGUUAUUUUUGGAACGUGUAACCGAUAAUUACUACCACAGAUUGUUUGGUGAUCAUCCGCUAAUUUAUUACUUUUUAUAGUUGCAUAGAAUGAUGGGAGGAACCAGGACGGGCCUUGCCAUCAGACUGAUUGAUCUGAUUCUUUCAGAUGAUGGUGAGGAAGGACAGGGCAUCCUCCAAAACCAAGCUCAUUUGUUUACCUGUUUAUCAGUGCAGUCUGCCACUCCUUGCUAACCAGUUCCUCCCUCACUCUCUGCUAUGAUCAGUGUCUUCUAGAAUGACAAACUAGGCAAUGAUAUUCCUUUUAUCCUUCUCCAGGCUGAAAUUCCUUGUUCUAAAUAUUUCUUCUCAAUGAGGCAUUGAGAGCCAGGUAUAAAGCAGCACAAAUGACUAGUUUCCACUGUGCCUUAUUCUGAACACUUGGCAAAUGUCUGCUUGAUUUUACCCUGCCACAGCUAAGAACUAUAGAUUAUUAUAUAUUAAUAUGAAUAAUAGUAUAUUACUAUUGUGUUUUAAUACGCUCUUCUGAAAUAAGAGUCAUUUUUCUUUUCUUCUCUUUCCAUUGUGUGGGUAUAGAACAGAAUUUGCAACUAUGAUAUUUUAUCAGGAGAUACUCUCUGGAAGUACUCUAAUGAUGUGCAUGCCUUCAAAAGGAAAUUAGUUGAAGAGGCUUAAAUUUCAAUAUUACAUCAUAACUUAUCCUGAAGAUAAUUUGUUUAAACUACGUAAGUGUAAUCCAGGAACACCAGUAAGUGAAAUACAGCAGUACACUCAGAAUAGCAGGAGUAACAAGGAACUAUGCUUUAUAGUACUAUUCACUUGUUAUUUGAUAUAAUAGUGAAUUA